rnacentral:rRNA from 1 species
UAGUCCACGCCCUAAACGAUGCUAACUGGACGUAUGGAUUUUGAUUUGUGCGUCUGAGGGAAACCAUUAAGUUAGCCACCUGGGGAGUACGUCCGCAAGGAUGAAACUCAAAGGAAUUGACGGGGUCCGCACAAGCGGUGGAGCAUGUGGUUUAAUUCGAUGAUACGCGAGGAACCUUACCUGGGCUCGAACGCUAUUGGCCAUUUCGGGAAACCGGAAUUUCCUUCGGGACCGAUAGUGAGGUGCUGCAUGGUUGUCGUCAGCUCGUGCCGUGAGGUGUUGGGUUAAGUCCCGCAACGAGCGCAACCCUUAUCCUUAGUUGCCAGCAUGUAAUGAUGGGGACUCUAAGGAGACUGCCGGCGUAAGCCGCGAGGAAGGUGGGGAUGACGUCAAAUCAUCAUGGGCCUUUAUGCCCAGGGGCGACACACGUGCUACAAUGGGUCGGUACAGAGGGGUCGCGAAGCCGCGAGGUGGAGCUAAUCU